CCUACGGGAGGCAGCAGUGAGGCAUAUUGGUCAAUGGACGAGAGUCUGAACCAGCCAAGUAGCGUGAAGGAUGACUGCCCUAUGGGUUGUAAACUUCUUUUAUAUGGGAAUAAAAUGUUCCACGUGUGGGAUUUUGUCUGUACCAUAUGAAUAAGGAUCGGCUAACUCCGUGCCAGCAGCCGCGGUAAUACGGAGGAUCCGAGCGUUAUCCGGAUUUAUUGGGUUUAAAGGGAGCGUAGGUGGAUUGUUAAGUCAGUUGUGAAAGUUUGCGGCUCAACCGUAAAAUUGCAGUUGAAACUGGCAGUCUUGAGUACAGUAGAGGUGGGCGGAAUUCGUGGUGUAGCGGUGAAAUGCUUAGAUAUCACGAAGAACUCCGAUUGCGAAGGCAGUUCACUGGACUGCAACUGACACUGAGGCUCGAAAGUGUGGGUAUCAAACAGGAUUAGAUACCCGAGUAGUC
rnacentral:rRNA from 1 species